rnacentral:ribozyme from 1 species
UUUUUUUUUUUUUUUUUUUUUUUUUUUUUUUCCU